AUUGCACCUGCACUAAGAUCUGUUUCCAAUCUUUUUUUUCUUCUUCUUCUUCUUCCCAAAGUCCUCUGGUACAUAGUUGCAUAUUCUAGUUGUGAGUGCCUCUGGUUGUGCUAUAUGGGACACUGCCUCAACAGGACCUGAUGAGCAGUGCCAUGUCCACACCCAGGAUCCGAACUGGCAGAACCCUGGGCCGCCGAAGUGGAGCACAUGAGCUUAACCACUCGGCCAUGGGCCCAGACCCCAUACAGCUGUUUUUAAUGUUUUAACCUCCCACAACUCACUCUAGCUUCUAUUUCACAAGUUUUACGUGGUCUAUUGUGUCUCCAGCUCUAAUUUCUUGCCCUAGGUAUCUGUAGAUCUAUAGACCCCCUGCAGCAUUCACGGCAGUGGCCACCACUUUUCCUCACAUGAGAUCCAACUCAGGUCCUUCUGGUUGUGCUAUGUGGGAUGCUGCCUCAGCACGGCCUGAUGAGUGGUGGCAUGUCUGCGCCCAGGAUCUGAGCCAGUGAAACUUUGGGCCACCAAAGUGGAGCAUGCAAACCUAACCACUCGGCCAUGAGAUAAGAACUAUAAAAUACAUUAAAAAAUUUUAAAAACUCUAACUGGAGGAUCUGAAAAGUAAACAAAAGCAGACAAAUCCUUGAAAAGCACUUGGAAGAAGAAAAUGGCAUGUGAUGAGACUCCUAUUUUUUAACGCUCUUAGUCUAAGGUAAGUCUACUAAAACACAAAUGAGUUUUGAGUUGGAGACAUCCUGAGAAAGUAAGUCCAUCAAGAUUUUGCAGCAAUCUUUGGAAGGAUUUUGAACUUCUUCAGUUCACAAAUUAAAGAAUGCCACCACAGCAUGGCUUGACAAAUGAUGAUAGGUCCACACCUGGGAUCCGAACCUGCGAACCCUGGACCACCAAAGUGGAGCACAGAACUUAACCACUACAUCACAAGGCCAGCCCCUGUUACUCAUUUUUUAAUGGAGUUUGUUUGUGGGAUUUUUUUGUAUUUGUUGGCUUUUUCUAUUGAGUUAUGUAUUUUGGACAUUAACUCAUUAUCAGAUAUAUGGUCUGCAAGUAUUUUCUCCCAUUUUGUAAGUUGCUUUUUACUCUGUUGAUAGUUUCCAUUGCUGUGCAGAAACUUUUUAGUUUUUAUGAAGUUACACUUGUCUAUUUUUGCUUCUGUUGCUUGUGUUUGAUGUCAUAUCCAAGAAAUCAUUGCCAAUAAUCAGGGAAAUGCAAAUCAAAAACAGAAUGAGAUAUAAUCUCACACCUGGUAGGAUGGCCAUUAUAAAAAAAAAACCCACAAGAUAACAAGUUUUGGUGAGAAUGCGGAGAAAUAAGAACCCUUGUGCACUGUUGGUGGGAAUGUAAAAUGGUGAAGCCACUAUGGAAACUGGAUGGAAGUUCCUCAAAAAAUUAAAAAUACACUAAAAAACUACAGCUAACAUCAUAUUUGGUGAUUAGAAACUCAAAGCUUUUCCACUAAGAUCAGGUAUAAGGCAAGGAUGUCCCCAUCACAACUCCUUCUCAAAUCAUGCUGAAAGUCCUUGCCGGGGUAAUAUGGUAAGAAAAGGCAAUAAAAAUAUUACAGAUUGGGAAGGAAAACAUAAAACUGUCUUUUUUCACAGAUCAUUGUCUAUAUAGAAAAUCCAGAAGAACUGACAAACAAAACCUCCUGGAACUAAUAAGCAAUUAUAGCAAGGAUACAGGAUAUAAAGUUAAUACGCAAAAGUCAAUUGUUGUUCUAUAUGCCAACAAUGAAAAGA
ensembl:lncRNA